GACGAACGCUGGCGGCGUGCCUAAUACAUGCAAGUAGAACGCUGAAGAGAGGAGCUUGCUCUUCUUGGAUGAGUUGCGAACGGGUGAGUAACGCGUAGGUAACCUGCCUUGUAGCGGGGGAUAACUAUUGGAAACGAUAGCUAAUACCGCAUAACAAUGGAUGACACAUGUCAUUUAUUUGAAAGGGGCAAUUGCUCCACUACAAGGUGGACCUGCGUUGUAUUAGCUAGUAGGUGAGGUAAUGGCUCACCUAGGCGACGAUACAUAGCCGACCUGAGAGGGUGAUCGGCCACACUGGGACUGAGACACGGCCCAGACUCCUACGGGAGGCAGCAGUAGGGAAUCUUCGGCAAUGGGGGCAACCCUGACCGAGCAACGCCGCGUGAGUGAAGAAGGUUUUCGGAUCGUAAAGCUCUGUUGUAAGUCAAGAACGGGUGUGAGAGUGGAAAGUUCACACUGUGACGGUAGCUUACCAGAAAGGGACGGCUAACUACGUG
rnacentral:rRNA from 1 species